rnacentral:tRNA from 1 species
GCGGGGGUAACAUAAAAGAGUGAGUGUACUAAGGCUUCAACCCUUGGGUGUGACGGUUCGAACCCGUUUCCCCGCUCCA